UCUCCUGGGCAUAGUCGGCCAAUCAGUGUUAAAAAAGGACAGAACUUUCUUUAUGUAUGCUACAACAGCAGCAAGAAUACUUAUUGCAAAGCAUUGGAAGACACAAGACUUACCCACACUGGAGGAAUGGCAGAUGAAAUUGAUGGACUAUAUGGAAUUGGCGGAAAUGACUGGCAGAAUCCGUGACCAGGGAGAAGAGUCGGUGGAAGAAGAUUGGAAGAAAUUUAAAGACUAUUUACAGAAAUAUUGCAAAAUUAAUGAAUGUUAGAAUGAUGUUGGAUUGAAGUUAAGUGGUUUCUAGCUGUACAGGUACAAAAGAAUAUGGAAAAAUUGGUUCUUAAUAUGUAAAAAUUUAAUGUUAUAAUAUAUCAAGAUUAAAGAUUAGGAUUAAAAAGGAGGGAAAGGAAUUGUUGGAUUAACAAAUUGAAUUGGAAUACAAAAGAGGGAGGUAUGAGGAGGUCUGGGAAACAAGUAAACGUAAAAGAAGUGAUGAAAAGAUGGAAUUGUUUUUAACUGUUUUUUCUUUUUUCUACUUUGUAUUUUUCCUUUUUAUUGUUAAUCUUUUUAUUAAUGUGAUUUUUCUUCUUUUGAAACUUUAAUAAAUAUUAUU
rnacentral:lncRNA from 1 species